UGAGUACGAGCUGCUACGGCAGCGAAGUGGGUGAUGUCAAGCUUCCAAGAAAAGCCCUAUACCCGUUAAGGCAUGACGGCCUGUACCCGAAACCGACACAGGUGGGGUGGUAGAGAAUACCGAGGGGCGCGAGAUAACUCUCUCUAAGGAACUCAGCAAAAUGGCCCCGUAACUUCGGGAGAAGGGGUGCCACCGCAAGGUGGUCGCAGUGAAGAGGCCCAGGCGACUGUUUACCAAAAACACAGGUCUCCGCUAAGUCGCAAGACGAUGUAUGGGGGCUGACGCCUGCCCAGUGCCGGAAGGUUAAGGAAGCUGGUCAGCGCAAGCGAAGCUAGCGACUGAAGCCCCGGUGAACGGCGGCCGUAACUAUAACGGUCCUAAGGUAGCGAAAUUCCUUGUCGGGUAAGUUCCGACCCGCACGAAAGGCGUAACGAUCUGGGCGCUGUCUCGGAGAGAGGCUCGGCGAAAUAGAAUUGUCUGUGAAGAUGCGGACUACGUGCACCCGGACAGAAAGACCCUAUGAAGCUUUACUGUAGCUUGGUAUUGUGCCCGGGCUCUGAAUGCGCAGGAUAGGUGGGAGGCUUUGAUCCAUGGCUUGCGGGUCAUGGUGAGCCAACGGUGAGAUACCACUCUUUCAGAGCUAGGGUUCUAACAGCCACCCGUUAUCCGGGGGCUGGACAGUAUCAGGUGGGCAGUUUGACUGGGGCGGUCGCCUCCUAAAAGGUAACGGAGGCGCGCAAAGGUUUGCUCAGGCUGGUUGGAAAUCAGCCGACGAGUGCAAAAGCAGAAGCAAGCUUGACUGUGAGACCAACAAGUCGAACAGGGACGAAAGUCGGCUUUAGUGAUCCGACGGUUCUGAGUGGAAGGGCCGUCGCUCAACGGAUAAAAGUUACUCUAAGGAUAACAGGCUGAUCUCCCCCAAGAGUUCACAUCGACGGGGAGGUUUGGCACCUCGAUGUCGGCUCAUCGCAACCUGGGGCUGAAGUCGGUCCCAAGGGUUGGGCUGUUCGCCCAUUAAAGCGGUACGCGAGCUGGGUUCAGAACGUCGUGAGACAGUUCGGUCCAUAUCCGGUGCAUGCGUAAGAACAUUGAGAGGAGUUCUCCCUAGUACGAGAGGACCGGGAGGAACGCACCUCUGGUGUACCAGUUAUCGUGCCAACGGUAAACGCUGGGUAGCCAUGUGCGGAGAGGAUAACCGCUGAAAGCAUCUAAGUGGGAAGCCCACCUCAAGAUGAGUGUUCUCAUGGCUUAAGCCAGUAAGGUCACGGGAAGAACACCCGUUGAUAGGCUCUACGUGUAAGCGCAGCAAUGUGUGAAGCGGAGGAGUACUAAUAGACC
rnacentral:rRNA from 1 species